GAUGAACGCUAGCGGCAGGCCUAACACAUGCAAGUCGAACGAACCUUCGGGUUAGUGGCAGACGGGUGAGUAAUGCAUAAGUAACCUACCCUUUAGUCUGGGAUAACUCUUCGAAAGAAGAGCUAAUACCGGAUACUCUCUAUUUUUCUACGGAUUUUUAGAGGAAAGAUUUAUUGCUAAAGGAUGGGCUUAUGUCUGAUUAGCCAGUUGGUAGGGUAAGAGCCUACCAAGGCUACGAUCAGUAGCUGGUCUGAGAGGAUGAUCAGCCACACUGGGACUGAGAUACGGCCCAGACUCCUACGGGAGGCAGCAGUGGGGAAUAUUGCGCAAUGGGCGAAAGCCUGACGCAGCAACGCCGCGUGAGCGAUGAAGCCUUUAGGGGUGUAAAGCUCGGUCAAGAGGAAUGAUUAUGACAGUACCUCUAGUGGAAGUCACGGCUAAUUACG
rnacentral:rRNA from 1 species